rnacentral:rRNA from 1 species
UGGCGGACGGGUGAGUAACGCGUGGGUAACCUGCCUCAUACAGGGGGAUAACAGUUAGAAAUGACUGCUAAUACCGCAUAAGCGCACAGGGACACAUGUUCCGGUGUGAAAAACUCCGGUGGUAUGAGAUGGACCCGCGUCUGAUUAGCUGGUUGGCGGGGUAACGGCCCACCAAGGCGACGAUCAGUAGCCGACCUGGAGAGGGUGACCGGCCACCAUUGGGACUGAGACACGGCCCAAACUCCUACGGAAGGCAGCAG